rnacentral:lncRNA from 1 species
UCUUCAAGAUCUAAAGCUUGAUAAAUAGUAGAAUACCAAAAGUUAGGACCUCCUACUUUCAUAGUAGGAUUUAACAUAGCAGCCACACCAAAUAUAGGAUGGAUUGGAAAAAAAUAUUUUUUAAACUUCUUUUUCAUUUCAGUAAUUGCAAUUUCAUAAAUUUCCCCUCCCUCGUUAAAAUCAACGAACAAAUUAGCAAGUGC